AACGAACGCUGGCGGCAUGCCUAACACAUGCAAGUCGAACGAAGGCUUCGGCCUUAGUGGCGCACGGGUGCGUAACGCGUGGGAACCUGCCCCUCGGUUCGGAAUAACAGUUAGAAAUGACUGCUAAUACCGGAUGAUGACUUCGGUCCAAAGAUUUAUCGCCGAGGGAUGGGCCCGCGUAGGAUUAGCUAGUUGGUGGGGUAAAGGCCUACCAAGGCGACGAUCCUUAGCUGGUCUGAGAGGAUGAUCAGCCACACUGGGACUGAGACACGGCCCAGACUCCUACGGGAGGCAGCAGUGGGGAAUAUUGGACAAUGGGCGAAAGCCUGAUCCAGCAAUGCCGCGUGAGUGA
rnacentral:rRNA from 1 species